GGAGGCUUGGGCUACGGCCCUUGACCUUUCUGGAGGAGUCCAGAGUCCCUCCGUGGUUCUGCCCGUUGAGCACCAACGCGAGACAGGCUCAGCUGGGGUUGGGCCUGGGGAGCGGCAGCCGUCUGGAGACGUUCCAUCAGCCUGUUCAGCGUGUUUGGAUCUCCAGGCUUCUAGAAGGAGGAUGAGCAUGGCGGAGGGGAGCACCGGUGGGGAAGAGGGCAGGCGCGGCACUAUCGGCAAGCGGCGAUGGUGUGACGUGGACGAGGAGGAUAGUGCCGUAGCCUGCAGUGUGGGACAGGGACAACCAAAGAAGCGGCGCACGACCUGAAAGAGAGUCCCUGCCCCAUAAUGCCCCACCAAUGCUUCUUCAAACACUGCAAGACCAUCCCCCUCCGCCCGUCAGCCAUCCAGCAAUGCAGCUCAUCAACCCAUCCAUCACCUCUCGCAACCCAGCCAAACCAUCCACAACUCAUACCACCAAUCCAGCCUCCAAACCUUCCAACCAUACCAACCAUGCAACCUCCCUGCAAGAAACCACCCCUCGUAAGUGCCUCGAUUGUACCUCCUCAAUUGCGCCUCCACGAUUGCACCUCCUCAAUGUCCUUGAUAGUUCAAGCCUCAAGCAGUCCAUGUUACAGAACAACACAAUGAUGCCCUGUCUGUGUGAAGAAUAAAUUUAGAAUGAA